UCUCGGAUCGUAAAGCUCUGUUGUUAGGGAAGAACAAGUACCGUUCGAAUAGGGCGGUACCUUGACGGUACCUAACCAGAAAGCCACGGCUAACUACGUGCCAGCAGCCGCGGUAAUACGUAGGUGGCAAGCGUUGUCCGGAAUUAUUGGGCGUAAAGGGCUCGCAGGCGGUUUCUUAAGCCUGAUGUGAAAGCCCCCGGCUCAACCGGGGAGGGUCAUUGGAAACUGGGGAACUUGAGUGCAGAAGAGGAGAGUGGAAUUCCACGUGUAGCGGUGAAAUGCGUAGAGAUGUGGAGGAACACCAGUGGCGAAGGCGACUCUCUGGUCUGUAACUGACGCUGAGGAGCGAAAGCGUGGGGAGCGAACAGGAUUAGAUACCCUGGUAGUCCACGCCGUAAACGAUGAGUGCUAAGUGUUAGGGGGUUUCCGCCCCUUAGUGCUGCAGCUAACGCAUUAAGCACUCCGCCUG
rnacentral:rRNA from 2 species